rnacentral:rRNA from 1 species
CGAAGGGGGCUAGCGUUGUUCGGAAUCACUGGGCGUAAAGCGCUUGUAGGCGGACUGUUAAGUCGGGGGUGAAAUCCUGAGGCUCAACCUCAGAAUUGCCUUCGAUACUGGCAGUCUUGGAGUCCGGGAGAGGUGAGUGGAACUCCUAGUGUAGAGGUGAAAUUCGUAGAUAUUAGGAAGAACACCAGUGGCGAAGGCGGCUCACUGGCCCGGUACUGACGCUGAUAAGCGAAAGCGUGGGGAGCAAACAGGAUUAGAUACCCUGGUAGUCCACGCCGUAAACGAUGGAAGCUAGCCGUCGGACAGCUUGCUGUUCGGUGGCGCAGCUAACGCUUUAAGCUUCCCGCCUGGGGAGUACGGUCGCAAGAUUA